rnacentral:lncRNA from 1 species
AGACAAAGCCCCUGCCGAGCCGCGAGGACUCAGCGACUUUGGGUGGCGGCAGGUGUGUCGGGCCAUAAUAAUGGCGGCCACUUGAGUGUCACGUGACAGAGCCGCUAGGGUGUGGAGGGUCCAGGAAGGCGGUCACAGACGCUGCCUCAGCUAGCUGCCUUCUCAGGUCACAGAGCCGUGCAGAUCCAGGUCCUGGGUGACCACUCUGUCCCGAAUGAGCAAGAGACGUACCUAGUCCUGACGACAAGGGACAACGGCCUUAACGGGCCUGGAAGUUAGAAGACUACAUGUUGAAAGUUUGCUUUGAGCUUGGUUCUUCUUGAACAUGCAGCUUCAAAUCAAUGUCUGUCUGCUCAUAAGUUCAACCAAACCAGGACUGCCACUGGCUGCUAAAGGGAAGAAAAGGCUCCAUGAAGAAUUCCAGCGUACCUCCUGCCCUGGCAGCCAUUCUGCUGUUUCUAUGGAAACAUUCACCAGAUAGCAGCAUGCUAUACUGUGCAAGUGAAGAAGAAGGCAUCUUCCUUUCAUCACCACAUCUAGAGUGUGACCACUUCACAGAAUGAAAGAAUGUGGUGAACACAGUUCUUUAUUCUGACAGAUAAAUCGUUCAAGAGAAAGGGGCCAGAUGCCAGUGACAUUUUCUUGGACUUCCCAGCCUUUAGAACCAUGAUCCAAAUAAACUUGUAUUGUUUAUAAAUUA